AGGUAAUAGAUACCCUGGUAGUCCACGCCGUAAACGAUGAGAACUAGACGUUGGGAGGCUUGUCCUCUUAGUGUCGAAAGCUAAACGCGUUAAGUUCUCCGCCUGGGGAGUACGGCCGCAAGGUUAAAACUCAAAGGAAUUGACGGGGCCCGCACAAGCGGUGGAGCAUGUGGUUUAAUUCGAUGCAACGCGAAAAAACCUUAACCUUACCCUUGACAUCCUAGGAAUCUUUCAGAGAUGAGAGAGUGCCUUCGGGUAACCGUAGAGACAGGUGAUGCAUGGCUGUCGUCAGCUCGUGUCGUGAGAUGUUGGGUUAAGUCCCGUAACGAGCGCAACCCUCGUCUUAGUUGCUACCAGUUCGGCUGAGCACUCUAGGGAGACCGCCGGUGAUAAACCGGAGGAAGGCGGGGAUGACGUCAAGUCAUCAUGUCCCUUACGGGGUAGGGCUACACACGUGCUACAAUGGGCAGUACAAAGGGUUAGCCAAGCCGCGAGGCGGAGCUAAUCUCAUAAAGCUGUUCGUAGUCCGGAUUGGAGUCUGCAACUCGACUCC
rnacentral:rRNA from 1 species